AGUGAACGCUGGCGGUAGGCCUAACACAUGCAAGUCGAACGGCAGCACAGUAAGAGCUUGCUCUUACGGGUGGCGAGUGGCGGACGGGUGAGGAAUACAUCGGAAUCUACUUUUUCGUGGGGGAUAACGUAGGGAAACUUACGCUAAUACCGCAUACGACCUACGGGUGAAAGCAGGGGAUCUUCGGACCUUGCGCGAUUGAAUGAGCCGAGGUCGGAUUAGCUAGUUGGCGGGGUAAAGGCCCACCAAGGCGACGAUCCGUAGCUGGUCUGAGAGGAUGACCAGCAACACUGGAACUGAGACACGGUCCAGACUCCUAAGGGAGGCAGCAGUGGGGAAUAUUGGACAAUGGGCGCAAGCCUGAUCCAGCCAUACCGCGUGGGUGAAGAAGGCCUUCGGGUUGUAAAGCCCUUUUGUUGGGAAAGAAAAGCAGCGGGUUAAUACCCCGCUGUUCUGACGGUACCCAAAGAAUAAGCACCGGCUAACUUCGUG
rnacentral:rRNA from 1 species